UACGUAGGGGGCAAGCGUUGUCCGGAAUCAUUGGGCGUAAAGAGCGUGUAGGCGGCUCGAUAAGUCUGCUGUGAAAGUCCAGGGCUCAACCUGGGAAUGGCAUUGGAUACUGGCUCGCUAGAGUGCGGUAGAGGGUGGUGGAAUUCCCGGUGUAGCAGUGAAAUGCGUAGAGAUCGGGAGGAACAUCUGUGGCGAAGGCGGCCACCUGGACCAACACUGACACUGAGGCACGAAAGCGUGGGGAGCAAACAGG
rnacentral:rRNA from 1 species